rnacentral:rRNA from 1 species
UCUACGGGUGGCUGCAGUGAGGAAUAUUGGUCAAUGGACGCAAGUCUGAACCAGCCAUGCCGCGUCCAGGAAGACGGCUCUAUGAGUUGUAAACUGCUUUUGUACGAGGGUAAACGCAGAUACGCGUAUCUGUCUGAAAGUAUCGUACGAAUAAGGAUCGGCUAACUCCGUGCCAGCAGACGCGGUAAGAAGGAGGAAUCAAGAGUUAUCCGGAUUUAUUGGGUUUAAAGGGUGCGUAGGCGGUCGGAUAAGUUAGAGGUGAAAUCCCGAGGCUCAACUUGGGAAUUGCCCAUGAUACUGUUCGGCUAGAGAGUAGUUGCGGUAGGCGGAAUGUAUGGGGUAGCGGUGAAAUGCUUAGAGUUCAUACAGAACACCGAUUGCGAAGGCAGCUUACCAAGCUACUUCGGACGUUGAGGCACGAAAGCGUGGGGAGCAAACAGGAUUAGAUACCCGGGUAGUC